rnacentral:rRNA from 1 species
UACAGAGGGUGCAAGCGUUAAUCGGAUUUACUGGGCGUAAAGGGCGCGUAGGCGGCGCAACAAGUCACUUGUGAAAUCUCCGGGCUUAACCCGGAGCGGCCAAGUGAUACUGUUGUGCUAGAGUGCGGAAGGGGCUACUGGAAUUCUCGGUGUAGCGGUGAAAUGCGUAGAUAUCGAGAGGAACACCUGCGGCGAAGGCGGGUAGCUGGGCCGACACUGACGCUGAGGCGCGAAAGCCAGGGGAGCGAACGGG